rnacentral:rRNA from 1 species
GACGAACGCUGGCGGCGUGCUUAACACAUGCAAGUCGAACGAAGAGCGAUGGAAGCUUGCUUCUAUCAAUCUUAGUGGCGAACGGGUGAGUAACGCGUAAUCAACCUGCCCUUCAGAGGGGGACAACAGUUGGAAACGACUGCUAAUACCGCAUACGAUCUAAUCUCGGCAUCGAGGAUAGAUGAAAGGUGGCCUCUACAUGUAAGCUAUCACUGAAGGAGGGGAUUGCGUCUGAUUAGCUAGUUGGAGGGGUAACGGCCCACCAAGGCGAUGAUCAGUAGCCGGUCUGAGAGGAUGCACGGCCACAUUGGGACUGAGACACGGCCCAGACUCCUACGGGAGGCAGCAGCGGGGAAUCUUCCGCAAUGGACGAAAGUCUGACGGAGCAACGCCGCGUGAGUGAUGACGGCCUUCGGGUUGUAAAGCUCUGUUAAUCGGGACGAAAGGCCUUCUUGCGAAUAGUGAGAAGGAUUGACGGUACCGGAAUAGAAAGCCACGGCUAACUACGUG